UGGGGAAUUUUGGACAAUGGGCGCAAGCCUGAUCCAGCAAUGCCGCGUGCAGGAUGAAGGCCUUCGGGUUGCAAACUGCUUUUGUACGGAGCGAAAAGGUCUGCCCUAAUACGGUGGGCUCAUGACGGUACCGUAAGAAUAAGCACCGGCUAACUACGUGCCAGCAGCCGCGGUAAUACGUAGGGUGCGAGCGUUAAUCGGAAUUACUGGGCGUAAAGCGUGCGCAGGCGGUUAUAUAAGACAGAUGUGAAAUCCCCGGGCUCAACCUGGGACCUGCAUUUGUGACUGUAUAGCUAGAGUACGGUAGAGGGGGAUGGAAUUCCACGUGUAGCAGUGAAAUGCGUAGAUAUGCGGAGGAACACCGAUGGCGAAGGCAAUCCCCUGGACCUGUACUGACGCUCAUGCAAGAAAGCGUGGGGAGCAAACA
rnacentral:rRNA from 1 species